rnacentral:lncRNA from 1 species
UAGAAUGUAGAAAGUAGCAUACUUAAGAGAAACAUAUAUCACAUUACAUUUGACAAGGAAAGAGUAACUCGUCUGCAACAUUGCAAAGAAAUCAAGCAUAUAUUAACAUGAUAAGAGUUAAGAAAACCAAACCCAACAACCAACAUAGUAUAUCAAUACCAACCAACAUAGUAUAUCAAUACCAUCAAAACUCCAAGGACCCAUCUUGUUUGUAUGGAACCCUCCAUCCAGCUAAGGGUUUGGUUUUCCUCUCACAAAAGCAUUUUCUGACCAAUUUAGGCCAACUAUACCAUGACAUCAUGUAGAUUUUAGAC